rnacentral:rRNA from 2 species
UAUUGCAUGUACCCUAUGAAUAAGGAUCGGCUAACUCCGUGCCAGCAGCCGCGGUAAUACGGAGGAUCCGAGCGUUAUCCGGAUUUAUUGGGUUUAAAGGGUGCGUAGGUGGGGAUUUAAGUCAGCGGUGAAAGUUUGUGGCUCAACCAUAAAAUUGCCGUUGAAACUGGAUUUCUUGAGUAUGUUUGAAGUAGGCGGAAUGCGUGGUGUAGCGGUGAAAUGCUUAGAUAUCACGCAGAACUCCGAUUGCGAAGGCAGCUUACUAAACCAUAACUGACACUGAAGCACGAAAGCGUGGGGAUCAAACAGGAUUAGAUACCCUGGUAGUCCACGCCGUAAACGAUGAUAACUAGGAGUUAGCGAUAGACAGUUAGCUCUACAGCGAAAGCGUUAAGUUAUCCACCUGGGGAGUACGCCGGCAACGGUGAAACUCAAAGGAAUUGACGGGGGCCCGCACAAGCGGAGGAACAUGUGGUUUAAUUCGAUGAUACGCGAGGAACCUUACCCGGGUUUGAACGCAUUCGGACCGGAGUGGAAACACUCUUUUCAGCAAUGACCGUUUGCGAGGUGCUGCAUGGUUGUCGUCAGCUCGUGCCGUGAGGUGUCGGCUUAAGUGCCAUAACGAGCGCAACCCUUAUUGUUAGUUACCAUCAGGUAGUGCUGGGGACUCUAACAAGACUGCCAGCGUAAGCUGUGAGGAAGGUGGGGAUGACGUCAAAUCAGCACGGCCCUUACAUCCGGGGCGACACACGUGUUACAAUGGAUGGGACAGAGGGCAGCCACUUGGUGACAAGGAGCAAAUCCCUUAAACCCAUUCUCAGUUCGGAUCGAAGUCUGCAACCCGACUUCGUGAAGCUGGAUUCGCUAGUAAUCGCGCAUCAGCCAUGGCGCGGUGAAUACGUUCCCGGGCCUUGUACACACCGCCCGUCAAGCCAUGGGAGUUGGGGGUACCUAAAGUUCGUAACCGCAAGGAUCGACCUAGGGUAAAACCGAUGACUGGGGCUAAGUCGUAACAAGGUAGCCGUACCGGAAGGUGCGGCUGGAACACCUCCUUU